rnacentral:rRNA from 1 species
AGAGUUUGAUCCUGGCUCAGAUUGAACGCUGGCGGCAGGCCUAACACAUGCAAGUCGAGCGGUAGAGAGAAGCUUGCUUCUCUUGAGAGCGGCGGACGGGUGAGUAAUGCCUAGGAAUCUGCCUGGUAGUGGGGGAUAACGUUCGGAAACGGACGCUAAUACCGCAUACGUCCUACGGGAGAAAGCAGGGGACCUUCGGGCCUUGCGCUAUCAGAUGAGCCUAGGUCGGAUUAGCUAGUUGGUGAGGUAAUGGCUCACCAAGGCGACGAUCCGUAACUGGUCUGAGAGGAUGAUCAGUCACACUGGAACUGAGACACGGUCCAGACUCCUACGGGAGGCAGCAGUGGGGAAUAUUGGACAAUGGGCGAAA